ACCCCGAAUAGGGGAGUGAAAUAGUACCUGAAACCGUACGCCUACAAGCGGUCGGAGCUAGCAAUAGUGACGGCGUGCCUUUUGCAUAAUGAGCCUACGAGUUACUCCUCACUGGCAAGGUUAAGUUCUUAAUUAACGGAGCCGUAGCGAAAGCAAGUCCAAAUAGGGCGUUUAGUCAGUGGGGGUAGACGCGAAACUUUGUGAUCUAUCCAUGAGCAGGUUGAAGGUGUGGUAACACAUACUGGAGGACCGAACCCAUUAACGUUGAAAAGUUCUGGGAUGACUUGUGGAUAGGGGUGAAAGGCCAAUCAAACUGAGAGA
rnacentral:rRNA from 1 species